AUCUGAUAGAUAAACAAUACAUUUUAUCAAAUAAAUCAUUUAUGAACCAUAAUAUAUGCGGAAUUUGGAGCUGCUCAUCAUGAAAUCAUGUAUUAACUUCAUAAUAUUGCAAGAAUACUGACGAAAUAUGUAUAAAAACAAAUGUUGGCAAAACACGAUUGAAGGAUUUUUAAAUGAUAUUUUGAACUUAUUUAAGAAGUGCUAAUUUGUGUCAAUCGCCCAUUGUUAUUUUGAUGAAAACUGUUGUUUCAGCUUGAGCUAUUGGGUUUUUUCUUUUACAUAUUGGUUUUUAUGCUUUUAAUAUACUGAAAACAUAUUGGUUUGUUCCAAACUCAAUACUACAUCAGGUCUUUUUCAAUUGCAGGUUCUAUUGUUCUAUUGUGAUAGAGGUUACAAAAGACUCUUAAACUCGCCACAAAUCUCUAUCAAAUAGCCCAACUCAAACUAUUGACUUCGACAUAAUAACUUGGAAUAAACAAAGUGGAUGUUUGGACCCCCACCAUUGAGGGGUGCGGUGGACUCUUUUUGGGGCUAAUAUUAUAAUAGUUGGAAACCAACAAUAACCUACGAUAAACAACACUAUUACCAUUCCAAAUCCCUCUUCGUUAUGAUGUUUAUUUUCCUACUCAAACUAAAAUAGUCUACCAAGCACAUGCUAUUAUAACCUACCUACAAACUACAGACUAUAAUAACCAACUUUGUUCUCCAAACGUUUCCUUAAGAGAAAUCCCCAACCCAACAAAAAGAGACAAUAUAUUCUCUCAAAUGAACUUACUGCACAUGCUAAAAAAAAGCUGAAAAUUACCUCUAGCCGAAUCGAAGUCUUCUAUCACUAGUCACUACAAGUAUUUUCGAGGCGAGGUUGGGUGCACACCUUAGGAGAGAGGCACUACGAUAUGAGGCACUUGUGCCUCUUGCAACAGCUGGGUGGUCAACAUCAAAUGGGCAUUGUGUCGUUUGCAACUAAAUUUUAUACAUAAGACACCAAAUGCGUUUGCUGCCACCCUAAUCACUGAUGGGCCAAGCCCACGAGUCUUCAAACUUUGAUGAUGAGUUUUGUCUCCACAAAGAGAAUAAAAAAAACGAAGGAUCUUCUACUUGGAGACAAUGACAGAUUUUGCCUCAUUACAAUGAAACUUAUCAUCUUGGCAAACUCGAAAACCAUACUCCCAAUACAACUAUCAUCCCCAAUCUUCUUGGCAAACUUCAAGGCACAACAAAAAAACUUGUAGCAACAACUAUUGAAAGUAACAACAAAGAACAAACACAAGAUUUACGUGGAAACCCUAAUACAGGUUCACAGUGGAGAGAUUACUUAUUAUUUUCUUAUGCAGCAAAAUAAUACAAGAGGGGAAGAUUAAUAGGCAAUAAGAGCCUUACUUAAAAAAGGAAAGAAUAAUUAUGGUUACAUAAAAUACAAAAGAACCCUUGGGAUUUCAACACACAACAAACCCACUAAUUCCCAUACACUCCCUCAAGUUGGGACAUAAAUGUCAAUAAGACCCAACUUGCUAACACUGAAAUCAAGACUCUGUCUGAGAAGUCCCUUGGUAGGAAUGUCAACAACUUGUCGACUCGAGGGAAUAGAAGGAAUGCAUAUGUACCAUUGUCCAAUCUUUCUUUAAUAAAGUGUCUAUCAAUCUCCACAUGUUUGGUUCCGUCAUGUUGAACCGAGUUAUUACCGAUGCUAAUAGCAGCCUUAUUAUUGCAGAAUAAUUUGAUAGGCACCUUAUAGUCCUAAUGAAGAUCAGAUAAAACUUUAUGUAGCCAAAUCUCCUCACAUAUCCCUAAACUCAUAGCCAUGUACUCAGCUUCAGCACCGCUUCUAGCCACAACCCUUUUCUUUUUACUCUUCCAAGUUACGAGAUUGCCCCACGCAAAAGUACAGUACCGAGAGGUGAAUUUUCUGUCAAUAACAGAUAUUGUUUGGUCUGAAUCAGUAUAAGCCUCAAUAAACCGUCUGUCAAUUUUCUUGAACAUCAACUUUCAAAUACCUCAGAAUUUUGUUAAUUGCCACCAUGUGUUCCUCGUAAAGAGCCUACAUGAACUGACUAAUUGUGCCAACAACAUAAGAGAUAUCUGGUCUAGUGUGAGUUAAGUAGAUCAACUUCCCCACCAGGUGCUAAUACUUUUCUUUAUCAACAGGAACUUCAACAACUGAAUUUCCUAGUUUAGCAUUGAACUCAAUAGGCGUAUCAGUAGGACGACAUUCUAUCAUAUAUGUUUCAGUCAACAAAUCAAGAGUGUACUUUUUUUAGAUAUAGAGAUACCUUAUUUCGAUCUGGAUAUCUCCAUACCAAGGAAGUACUUAGAUUCCUCAGGUCUUUAAUUUCAUAUUCAUCUCCUGUCUUCUUUUUCAGCUGGACAAUUUCAGUAGUGUCGUUCCUAGAUAAAAUAAUAUCAUCAACAUAAACAAUUAAUGCAACAAUCUUCCCAAACUUUGGAGACUUUUGUAAACAGAGUGUGAUCAGAGUGUCUUUAACUAUAUCCUUGGGACUUGAUGAAGGUGGUAAGCCUGUCAAACCCAUGCUCUCGGCGACCUUUUUAACCCAUACAAGGAUUUCUGAAGCUUGCAAAUCCGAUGGUCAAACUGAGCUUCAAAGCCUGGAGGGGGCUUAUAUAGACUUCCUCUCCUAAAUCUCCAAUAAAGAAUGCAUUUUUAACAUCUAGUUGAUAUAGGGGUCUAUCUUUAUUCACAGCAAUAGACAAAAAGAACCUAAUAGUGUUUAACUUUGCAACGGGAGGAAAAGGUCUCCAAGUAGUCGACUUUGUAAGUCUGAGUAAACUCUUUGCAACUAAUUUGGCCUUGUGUCUGUCUAAAGUUCCAUCUAAUUUGUACUUGAGAGUAAACAUACAUUUACAUCCCACAGUUUUAUGCCCCUCAGGAAGAGCACAGAGCUCCUAUGUCUUGUUAUUUUCAAGGGCUCUCAUCUCCUCCAUGACUGUUGUCUUCACUCAGGGCACUCUAAUGCAAUGUGGAUGUUCUUAGGUAUCGUGGUGGAGUCAAGAUUGGUUGUAAAAGCUCUGAACUGGGACGAUAAAUUCUCGUAGGAGACAUAGUUAUUGAUGGAGUGCUUUGUGCAGAACCCGAUACCUUUCCUCAGCGCAAUAGAUAUAUGUCAACAGACGGAUUAUACUCAUCAAGGUUACCUGAAUGACCCUGUUUAGCCCAUCACCUAUCGUUUCUACCAUGACUUCAAUCUCAUCAACACUACCCCUUAGUGUGCUUUUGUUUCUUGCAAUGUUCAUAGAUAAAGACUAGUUUUCCAUUGUCCUUCUUGCCGUCAUGAGUAGAAGACCUCGCACUAAAGGCAACAGAAUCAAUAGCAGGGGUGGCCAAAAUAUUCAUAGUGCUUGUACGGUCUUCCUCAAGGCGAACUUUAGAACAAACCUCCAUCAAGGAGGGAAUAGGUCACUUGCCCAAUAUACGUCCACAGACUAUAUCAAACUUAAAGUUGAAACUAGCAAGAAAGUCAUAAAUCCUGUCAAUUUCUUCAAUUCUAGAGCAUUGUAUGCCACCACUGGUGCAAUUCUGGACAACCUCUCUGCAUAGGUCCAUUUCAAACGAGGGGACGUUUGUUGAAAUAGGAUGUUACAUCCAUUGUCCCCUGCUUGCAUUCAUGGACUUGUUUUCGUAGUGUAUAUAGCCAAAAUACAUUCUAACGCUUUGAAUAUAGUUUUUGAGUUGUGUCCCAAAUAUCCUUAACAGUCAUAGCAAGUAGCCUACAACAAGGACUUGCCAAUCUAUAGCUCCAUACUAUUAAUUAACGUGGCCCGAAUAAGAGAAUCAUCCUCUUUUUAGUAGCGUUCCUGAGGAUCUCCUGGUAGAGGACAGGGUAUCUCCCCUGUCAAAAAACCAAAUUUGCAGCGCCCUCAAGAAUAAUUUUAACCAUAUCUAGCCGCAAGAAAUAGUUCUGACCAUUCAGUUUCUCUUCAAAAAAAUCUUGUAGACAAUGCCACUACAUUAGACACAUAAGUAGGAGACAAAGUAGGGAACAAAGUUACCGGAUUCUCAGAAUAUGUGGUGAGGUUGUAUGAAGACCAAGACCAAGGGUGUUAGAAGUAGCCUCUAACAUUGCCUCAACCGCUGCGAUUUGCUGUAAAAGCAUGUCCAGUUGUUGUUGGGCGUUACCUUAAGAGAAAGUUUGCAUAUGAGGUUUUGACUGAGUCGAGGAUUCACCAACCUCCAAUGUUGACUGGGCUUAAGGAUUUCCAACACCCGAAUAAUUAGGGUUUACAGCAGAACCAAUAGCUGGCGGCUGCACUAGGAACGGCGGCUUAACACUGUUAAGGGUUUCCGGUGGCUAAGUCUGGUUGGCGAGGACAAGAGCAGCAGCGUGUGGGGGUUCGCGUGCUGGAUUGCAUGCAGGCGUGCAGGUUUGCAUUCAGCUUUAUAGAAAAUUGUUGUGGCGCAUGUGGCUGAAGGGAGAGGACUGGCCAGCGUGCUUUGAAGGCGGCAGAACCAGUCAUCCAUGGCAGCGCUGAUCCGGCCAUUGACGACGACGGCUGUCUUGCCAGCAGUGUGGGUCCUCUUUGUUCAGGUUUCAUUAAGUGUAAUGUCAUCUAAGGUUUCGUCGUUAUUCUGCUCUGAUACCAUAUUGAAAGUAACGACAACUAUUGAAAGUAACUAUUAUCUCCAAUCUUCUUGGCAAACUCCAAGGCACAACAGAAAACUUUUAACAACUAUUGAAAGUAACGACAAAGAACAAACACAAGAUUUACGUGAAAACCCUGGUAUAGGGAAAAAAACCAUGGUGGAGAGAUUUCUUAUUAUUUUCUUAUGCAACAAAAUAAUACAAGAGGGAAAAAUUAAUAGGCAACAAGAGCCUUAACUAAAAAAGGAAAGAAUAAUUAGGGUUACAUAAAAUACAAAAGGACCCUUGGGCUUGACUACUUCUUCCAAACUUGCUAUCCAGCAGGAGACACUAUCUUUCACCUUAGUAAUUGUUUUGCCAUUCAACUUUAAUACCUUUAUUUGCCUAGGCGCCUUUAUCAAUCCAUUUGAAUGUCUAACAACUGGGUGCCAUCAACUUUCAAUCCCAGACUUCUCAAUUGUUUCUAACUGAUGUAACUUAUCAAAAUUGGUUAUCGUUACUGCUGGUUCAACUGGACCUCUGUACCUACUGUAAAUAGCUUUAACCAGCAUCCACCGUCUCUCUCAUCGUUUGGGAACACUAAACCAACAUAUGUAUAGUGCGAAAUCUUUGUGACCAACAACCACUACCUGGGAUUCUAACCUGCCUGCAAUUGCCAAACUCACAGUUGCAACCUUCACCAUCCAGUUUGCCAAUAGAGAUGAAAUUUAUCUUCAUCCUAGGCACAAACCUAACAUUGCAUCGUACUAGCUUUUCUCUACACUUUGUCAUCAUGUUAAUAUCCUCAUUUCUAACUGUCUUAGAAACUUUACCAUUCCUAUGACUCAUUAACAAUCAAUUAAAUAGAUCAAGAUCCAUCAAUUUAGAAACAAUUGGGAAGUCUGAGAGAGAAAGUUGAUGGCUAUCACAACAAUAUGAAAUUGCAGUUGUCAGACAUGCUAAUGAAGUUACCUAGGGGAGCGAAUGCAUAAAAAUUGAAGACCAAAGCAGUUGCUAAGGUCAAAGAUAAUAUCUUCAGCUUCGGUAGCAAACUGGUGAAUGAAGAAGUCAAGCCAUUUGCAGAAUGCAAAUUCUUCUGAAACAAUUGUUCAAGAUUGAAUGUGUCAGUUGGCACCACUUAGCUAAAGCGGGAGUUUAAUAGACUUGAAGUUCACCAAGACGAGAUCAUAAAUAACAGGUUUGGAGUUUGCUAAGAUCAUAAGUUUUGUUGCAAUGGGAGAUAUGAUAUUUGUUUGGUCUCCAAGCAGCAGAUUGUUAAGAAUGCAGAUCCCACGCAAAGGCCUAUUUCUUUUCAACAAUUAACCGAAAGCAACCUUUGUUAUUGUUAGUAUGAAGGUGGUUUUGAAAACAAAAAAAUGAGGUGGUUGAAAUAAAAAAUUAUGCAAGAAGCUGGGAGCUUCAUUUUUGCUGAAAGAAAAAAUGGGAAAAAACUUUAAGCGGCUGGAGAUUUUUGUCUUUAGUACUUCAAUGCUUCCUCUUGUUGGAUUGAGACUUUCACUUACUGUUUACUCCAAGUUACUAAGUCAUGUUACUUGGAAAUCCAUAGUUCAAGUUGGGCUAUUUGAUUGAGAUUUACAGUGCAAGUUUGAAGAUCUUUUGUAAUCUCCUUCAUAGUAAAACCUGCAAUUGUAGAAGACUAAACAUAGUCUCAAAUUCUGAGUGAACCAGUAUAUUU